rnacentral:rRNA from 1 species
UACGUAGGGGGCAAGCGUUAUCCGGAUUUACUGGGUGUAGAGGGAGCGUAGACGGCAGCGCAAGUCUGGAGUGAAAUGCCGGGGCCCAACCCCGGAACUGCUUUGGAAACUGUGCAGCUCGAGUGCAGGAGAGGUAAGCGGAAUUCCUAGUGUAGCGGUGAAAUGCGUAGAUAUUAGGAGGAACACCAGUGGCGAAGGCGGCUUACUGGACUGUAACUGACGUUGAGGCUCGAAAGCGUGGGGAGCAAACAGG